CACAUAUGCAGAGGCCCUAAUUGGGCCAGAGAAGGCCCAGACUGGGUCACCACCGGUCCUGGCUACUCUAGGGGAGGCCUGCAGGGGUGGGGAGCUGCCGCUCCCCCCACCCAUGGCUACUGCCACCGAUGAUAGUACCUGCAGCUAUUGGAUUCCAAGAAGCAAGGGCCACAACACCCCACAAAAAGAACAUCCAUGGAACAAGUGUACAGCCAACCAAGGACCCAAACUGUGUUUUUUAUGAAUGAUUUCUAUUCUGCGGAAGACAGUCCUCCUUCUGAAACGAAGAAAGGAGUUCCUUAGCAUACAAGGAUUUGCCUUUAUGGAUGUACUUUCCACCCACUUCCAAAUGUAUGGAGCAUAACAAUUGCCAAAGUGUGUUUGCUACUAUCUGCAACUGACAGAAGGCCUUGGGCUGCCCUACUAUAUAUGAUAUCAUUGGCAUAAAUGUAUUGCUGAUAGCAUGGCCGUUCCAGGAAAUGGUGCAGCUUUGAAUUACACACUCCAUGUGGCCUGCAGCUUAUUUUAACCAUGGAAAUAUCUGAAGGGGGACUAAUGAAAUAAUUCUGCAUUUUCUUUUAGACUGUGGGAGAAGGGAAAGCUAUAUUUAAAAUGCAUGCAUUAAUACACACAGAAGUGCCUGCUUUGUUAUAUUUAAAAUUAGCCUCAAAUCUUAACCUGCUGUGCAACACAGGCCAAGGUCUAGGCCAAGUGCCUAGACUGAAGGCACUAAUUCACUUCCAUUCCUAAGUCUUCUUUACUCAUAUCUUUCAUUUAAUCCUGGUUGGACUUGUUUGAAUAAAAUAUCCUCUGACUGGA